ACCGGUGAGCGCAUGGGCGCGGCCUGGCCUCCAAAGCCAUCGUCUGCUGGUUCGAUUCCAGCCACCGGUGCCA
rnacentral:tRNA from 1 species